UGCACCGGUCGUGCAAGUCACUGAGCAA
rnacentral:sRNA from 1 species